AUUGAACGCUAGCGGGCUGCCUUACACAUGCAAGUCGAACGGAGUGGCGAACGGGUGAGUAAUGUAUCGGAACGUGCCCAGUAGCGGGGGCUAACUACGCGUAAGCGUCACUAAUACCGCAUACUAUUGGAGCGGCCGAUAUCGGAUUAGCUAGUUGGUGGGGUAACGGCUCACCAAGGCGACGAGCCGUAGCUGGUUGUAGAGUACGACCAGCCACACUGGGACUGAGACACGGCCCAGACUCCUACGGGAGGCAGCAGUGGGGAAUUUGGGACAAUGGGGGAAACCCUUAUCCAGCCAUCCCGCGUGGGCGAUGGAGGCCUGCGGGUUGUAAAGCACUGUUGGCAGGAAAGCGGUACCUGCCGAAUAAGCACCGGCUAACUACGAGCCAGCAGCCGCGGUAAUUC
rnacentral:rRNA from 1 species